AUGCAAGUCGAGUGCGCGUUUCCGUAGCAAUACGGGAAUGGCGCACGGCGCACGGGUGCGUAACACGUGGGUAAUCUGCCCUCUGAUGGGGAAUAACCCGCCGAAAGGCGGGCUAAUACCGCAUAACAUUCCUUGGACUCCGGUUUGAGGAUUCAAAGCCGUAAGGCGUCGGAGGUGGAGCCCGCGCACGAUUAGCUAGUUGGUAGGGUAACGGCCUACCAAGGCUAUGAUCGUUAGCUGGUCUGAGAGGAUGGCCAGCCACACUGGAACUGAGACACGGUCCAGACUCCUACGGGAGGCAGCAGUGGGGAAUCUUGCGCAAUGGGCGAAAGCCUGACGCAGCGACGCCGCGUGGGGGAUGAAGCUUCUCGGAGUGUAAACCCCUUUCGACCGGGACGAAUGCCCGCAAGGGAGUGACGGUACCGGUAUAAGAAGCCCCGGCUAACUACGUGCCAGCAGCCGCGGUAAGACGUAGGGGGCCAGCGUUGUUCGGAAUUACUGGGUGUAAAGGGUUCGUAGGCGGUGUGGCAAGUCGGGAGUGAAAUCUCUGGGCUCAACUCAGGGGCUGCUUCCGAAACUGCCGUGCUAGAGUGUGGGAGAGGCGCGUGGAAUUGCAGGUGUAGCGGUGAA
rnacentral:rRNA from 1 species